GACGGAGGGAGCAAGCGUUGUUCGGAUUUACUGGGCGUAAAGGGCGUCUAGGCGGGCUGAUAAGUCAGGUGUGAAAUACCUCGGCUCAACCGGGGAAUUGCAUUUGAUACUGUUGGUCUUGAGUACGGAAGAGGGAAGCGGAAUUCCUGGUGUAGCGGUGAAAUGCGUAGAUAUCAGGAAGAACACCGGUGGCGAAGGCGGCUUCCUGGUCCGUUACUGACGCUGAAGCGCGAAAGUGUGGGGAGCAAACAGGAUUAGAUACCCUGGUAGUCCACACUGUAAACGAUGGAUGCUAGGUGUCGGGGGUAUCGACCCCCCCGGUGCCGAAGCUAACGCAUUAAGCAUCCCGCCUGGGGAGUACGGUCGCAAGGCUGAA
rnacentral:rRNA from 1 species